rnacentral:rRNA from 1 species
AAUAGCACUAUCAUUUUGACGUUAGCUGCAGAAGAAGCACCGGCUAACUCCGUGCCAGCAGCCGCGGUAAUACGGAGGGUGCGAGCGUUUAAUCGGAAUUACUGGGCGUAAAAGCGCAUGCAGGUGGUUUGUUAAGUCAGAUGUGAAAGCCCGGGGCUCAACCUCGGAAUUGCAUUUGAAACUGGCAGACUAGAGUACUGUAGAGGGGGUAGAAUUUCAGGUGUAGCGGUGAAAUGCGUAGAGAUCUGAAGGAAUACCGGUGGCGAAGGCGGCCCCCUGGACAGAUACUGACACUCAGAUGCGAAAGCGUGGGGAGCAAACAGGAUUAGAUACCCUGGUAG